rnacentral:rRNA from 1 species
UUAAAUUGAAGAGUUUGAUCAUGGCUCAGAUUGAACGCUGGCGGCAGGCCUAACACAUGCAAGUCGAGCGGUAGCACAGAGAGCUUGCUCUCGGGUGACGAGCGGCGGACGGGUGAGUAAUGUCUGGGAAACUGCCUGAUGGAGGGGGAUAACUACUGGAAACGGUAGCUAAU